rnacentral:misc_RNA from 1 species
GAAACGCGAUAGUUAAUGUGAAUUGCAGAAUUCAGUGAAUCAUCGAGUCUUUGAACGCACAUUGCGCCUUUUGGUAUUCCGAGAGGCACGCCUGUCUGAGCGUCAGCAAAACCCUUCGGCGGUCAAUUUUUAUUGCGGCCGGUGUUGGCGGCGGGCACCUUCCAAAGGUCCCCCGCUUAAACCCAGUGGCGGGGCAGGCAAGCUUGCGCAAUAGUAGAAAUAUCUUUUGCCAGAGCCCAACUGCCCCAACCUUAGCAGGGACUUGCUCCCUUCAUUUUUGACCUCAGAUCAGACGAGGAUACCCGCUGAACUUAA